UGCUGGGUAUGAGGAUGUGGAGUGUCCCCAGUUGUCCCUUUAUGGGACAUCUGUAGACACCUCAUACCCAAGGCUCUUGCCAGAAUAUUCCAGCUACCUGGUAUUUUCUGACUACUGUGGGGAGGGUGUGAGGAGACAUCAGUCCACGAUGCCUUGUUUACCAGGAUCUCGCCAUGAGGACCUGUGGCAUCUGCUGUCCUUGUUGACACCUGCCUGUGACUGCCCGGAGCUGUGGCAGCUAUGUUGGGACCAUGAGGGGGUUAGUCUGGGCAGGACACACUGAGGAUGAUAGAGCAGAAAGAUGGAAGCCGCCUGCUCCUUGACGACAGCGCUGAGCCACUGAACGAACCAGCUCCGGAGCCUCCCCACGCGGGACUUCUCGUUACAACGAUGUGGUCUGCCCAACAGAGUCACUUCCCAAACAGCAGGAACAUAUGGAGAGUCCGAGAGCUGAAGGCAUGAGAAACCCGAUAAAGCCAUUCCAGCCCCAAAUGUCCGAAACGAAAUGAACGUGAACUUCGCCAUGUGAAAUAUGAUUUGGGCAUGUUUGAAUACGCUCAAACUUGAUACAAAGAAACAACAGUCCUUGGUCGUUUUAGAGAGUGCUAACUCAACCUCAGAGGAUGGUUCUGACGGGAAAAUAUGAAGAGAGCCCAUGUCCACAUGCGGUCGGUGGCAUUUAUUCACUAACUCAUUGAAAAAUGACCCCCAGCCCUUCUGUCGUUUCAUGAGAUGCA